GCCGGCGGAAUUGGUUACCGCGUCUGACUACGAAUCAGGAGGCUGUAGGUUCGAAUCCUAUCA
rnacentral:tRNA from 1 species